UUAGAUACCCUACUAUACUGAUAAUAACCUGAAUUAUUAAUAGGUAUGAUCUUUAAAUUUGAAGAAUUUGGCGGUGGUUUAAUCUUAUUAGAGGAACCUGUUUUUGAAUCGAUACACCACGUGGAAUCUUACUCGUUUUAUUGUAGUCUAUAUACCGUCAUUAUCAGAUAAUUUUAAAAGAAAUAAAUUAUUGAAAUUUAUAAAAUUAAAAGGUAAACAAAAUUAGAUCAAGGUGUAGCUUAUAAAUGAGUUAAAAUGGGUUACAAUAAAAUAUAUUUAAAAUGGAUUAGUCUAAGGAAGUGUUAACUAUGAAGGAGGAUUUAAUUGUAAUAGGAAUUUAAUAAGUUCAAAAGAUAUAAGCUCUAAACCAUGUACAUAUCGCCCGUCGCUA
rnacentral:rRNA from 1 species